GUGGUGUGGUGUGGUGUAGUGUGGUGUAGUGUGGUGUGGUGUGGUGUGAUGUGGUGUGGUGUGGUGUAGUGUGGUGUGGUGUGGUGUAGUGUGGUGUGGUGUAGUGUGGUGUGGUGUGGUGUAGUGUGGUGUAGUGUAGUGUGGUGUGGUGUAGUGGGGUGUGGUGUGGUGUAGUGUGGUGUGGUGUGGUGUGGUGUAGUGGGGUGUGGUGUGGUGUGGUGUAGUGGGGUUUGGUGUAGUGUAGUGUGGUGUGGUGUGGUGUGGUGUAGUGGGGUGUAGUGUAGUGUGGUGUGGUGUGGUGUAGUGGGGUGUGGUGUAGUGUAGUGUGGUGUAGUGUGGUGUAGUGUGGUGUGGUGUAGUGGGGUGUGGUGUGGUGUAGUGUGGUGUGGUGUGGUGUGGUGUAGUGGGGUGUAGUGUAGUGUAGUGUAGUGUGGUGUGGUGUGGUGUAGUGUGGUGUAGUGUGGUGUAGUGCAGUGUGGUGUAGUGUGGUGUAG
ensembl:lncRNA